UACGUAGGCAGCAAGCGUUGUUCGGAAUUACUGGGCGUAAAGAGUGUGUAGGCGGUGCUCCAAGUCUGGGGCGAAAUCUCCCGGCUUAACUGGGAGGGUGCAUUAGAAACUGGAAUGCUAGAGGAUGGGAGAGGUAAGCGGAAUUCCUGGUGUAGCGGUGAAAUGCGUAGAUAUCAGGAGGAACACCUGUGGUGUAGACAGCUUACUGGACCAUUUCUGACGCUGGGACACGAAAGCGUGGGUAGCAAACAGG
rnacentral:rRNA from 1 species